UUCCAGACUCCUACGGGAGGCAGCAGUGGGGAAUAUUGCACAAUGGGGGAAACCCUGAUGCAGCGACGCCGCGUGAGUGAAGAAGUAUUUCGGUAUGUAAAGCUCUAUCAGCAGGGAAGAUAAUGACGGUACCUGAGUAAGAAGCCCCGGCUAACUACGUGCCAGCAGCCGCGGUAAUACGUAGGGGGCAAGCGUUAUCCGGAUUUACUGGGUGUAAGGGGAGCGUAGACGGCAUGGCAAGUCUGAAGUGAAAGCCCGGGGCUCAACCGCGGGACUGCUUUGGAAACUGUUAAGCUGGAGUGCAGGAGAGGUAAGUGGAAUUCCUAGUGUAGCGGUGAAAUGCGUAGAUAUUAGGAGGAACACCAGUGGCGAAGGCGGCUUACUGGACUGUAACUGACGUUGAGGCUCGAAAGCGUGGGGAGCAAACAGGAUUAGAUACCCGCGUA
rnacentral:rRNA from 1 species